CGGGGCGUGGCUCAGCUUGGUAGAGCACCUGGUUUGGGACCAGGGGGUCGUCGGUUCAAAUCCGGCCGCCCCGA
rnacentral:tRNA from 1 species